rnacentral:rRNA from 1 species
UACGAAGGGGGCUAGCGUUGUUCGGAAUUACUGGGCGUAAAGCGCACGCAGGCGGCUCGAUAAAUUAGAAGUGAAAGCCCCGGGCUUAACCUGGGAAUUGCUUUUAAGACUGUCGGGCUAGAAUCCAGAAGAGGGUAGUGGAAUUCCGAGUGUAGAGGUGAAAUUCGUAGAUAUUGGGAAGAACACCGGUGGCGAAGGCGGCUAUCUGGACCGUAACUGACGCUGAGGCGCGAAAGCGUGGGGAGCAAACAGG